GAGCCCGAGGGUGAGGAGAGAGAGAGGGAUGUCUCCGAGGCGCAGGGCGCAGAAGACCCCCUCGCUAAUUGACUUGUAUAUAUUUUAUUUUUGAAAUGAAUUGAAGUCUCUUAUGUUCAAAUUUCAUGAUGAGAUCAGAAAGCGUCCAAACCAAACUGUCUAAGUACUUAAUUGAUUGAAGUUGAACAUUAAACCAGAGAGCGACUAUUAAUCAAAAGAU
rnacentral:misc_RNA from 1 species